GGGAAAUCUCUUUCUACUGGGAAUUCAAAAAGUUUUUUUUUACGACAAACAAAUAAGUCAUAA
rnacentral:tRNA from 3 species